rnacentral:rRNA from 1 species
AUUGAACGCUGGCGGAAUGCUUUACACAUGCAAGUCGAACGGCAGCACGGACUUCGGUCUGGUGGCGAGUGGCGAACGGGUGAGUAAUGUAUCGGAACGUGCCCAGUCGUGGGGGAUAACGUAGUGAAAAUUACGCUAAUACCGCAUACGAUCUAUGGAUGAAAGCGGGGGAUCGCAAGACCUCGCGCGAUUGGAUCGGCCGAUAUCAGAUUAGGUAGUUGGUGGGGUAAAGGCCCACCAAGCCAACGAUCUGUAGCUGGUCUGAGAGGACGACCAGCGACACUGGAACGGAGACACGGUCCAGAAUCCUACGUGAGGCAGCAGUGGGGAAUGUUGGACAAUGGGCGAAAGCCUGAUCCAGCCAUUCCGCGUGCAGGAUGAAGGCCCUCGGGUUGUAAACUGCUUUUGUACAGAACGAAAAGGUUUCUACUAAUACUAGGAGCUCAUGACGGUACUGUAAGAAUAAGCACCGGCUAACUACGUGCCAGCCGCCGCCGUAA